UUAAUGAGAGUUUGAUCCUGGCUCAGGACGAACGCUGGCGGCGUGCCUAAUACAUGCAAGUAGAACGCUGAAGAGAGGAGCUUGCUCUUCUUGGAUGAGUUGCGAACGGGUGAGUAACGCGUAGGUAACCUGCCUUGUAGCGGGGGAUAACUAUUGGAAACGAUAGCUAAUACCGCAUAACAAUGGAUGACACAUGUCAUUUAUUUGAAAGGGGCAAUUGCUCCACUACAAGAUGGACCUGCGUUGUAUUAGCUAGUAGGUGAGGUAACGGCUCACCUAGGCGACGAUACAUAGCCGACCUGAGAGGGUGAUCGGCCACACUGGGACUGAGACACGGCCCAGACUCCUACGGGAGGCAGCAGUAGGGAAUCUUCGGCAAUGGGGGCAACCCUGACCGAGCAACGCCGCGUGAGUGAAGAAGGUUUUCGGAUCGUAAAGCUCUGUUGUAAGUCAAGAACGAGUGUGAGAGUGGAAAGUUCACACUGUGACGGUAGCUUACCAGAAAGGGACGGCUAACUACGUGCCAGCAGCCGCGGUAAUACGUAGGUCCCGAGCGUUGUCCGGAUUUAUUGGGCGUAAAGCGAGCGCAGGCGGUUUGAUAAGUCUGAAGUUAAAGGCUGUGGCUCAACCAUAGUUUGCUUUGGAAACUGUCAAACUUGAGUGCAGAAGGGGAGAGUGGAAUUCCAUGUGUAGCGGUGAAAUGCGUAGAUAUAUGGAGGAACACCGGUGGCGAAAGCGGCUCUCUGGUCUGUAACUGACGCUGAGGCUCGAAAGCGUGGGGAGCGAACAGGAUUAGAUACCCUGGUAGUCCACGCCGUAAACGAUGAGUGCUAGGUGUUGGAUCCUUUCCGGGAUUCAGUGCCGCAGCUAACGCAUUAAGCACUCCGCCUGGGGAGUACGACCGCAAGGUUGAAACUCAAAGGAAUUGACGGGGGCCCGCACAAGCGGUGGAGCAUGUGGUUUAAUUCGAAGCAACGCGAAGAACCUUACCAGGUCUUGACAUCCCGAUGCUAUUUCUAGAGAUAGAAAGUUACUUCGGUACAUCGGUGACAGGUGGUGCAUGGUUGUCGUCAGCUCGUGUCGUGAGAUGUUGGGUUAAGUCCCGCAACGAGCGCAACCCCUAUUGUUAGUUGCCAUCAUUCAGUUGGGCACUCUAGCGAGACUGCCGGUAAUAAACCGGAGGAAGGUGGGGAUGACGUCAAAUCAUCAUGCCCCUUAUGACCUGGGCUACACACGUGCUACAAUGGUUGGUACAACGAGUUGCAAGUCGGUGACGGCAAGCUAAUCUCUUAAAGCCAAUCUCAGUUCGGAUUGUAGGCUGCAACUCGCCUACAUGAAGUCGGAAUCGCUAGUAAUCGCGGAUCAGCACGCCGCGGUGAAUACGUUCCCGGGCCUUGUACACACCGCCCGUCACACCACGAGAGUUUGUAACACCCGAAGUCGGUGAGGUAACCUUUUGGAGCCAGCCGCCUAAGGUGGGAUAGAUGAUUGGGGUGAAGUCGUAACAAGGUAGCCGUAUCGGAAGGUGCGGCUGGAUCACCUCCUUUCUAAGGAA
rnacentral:rRNA from 1 species